rnacentral:rRNA from 1 species
AAACGGUGUCUAUAGCGACGGUGAUCCACCUCUUCCCAUCCCGAACAGAGAAGUUAAGCCCGUUAGCGCCGAUGGUACUGCCGAAAGGUGGGAGAGUAGGUCGAUGCCAAAU